GUUGGCGGCGUGGCAUUAGGCAUGCAAGUCGAACGCGAACGGUUGACUUCGGUUGACCUAGUAGAGUGGCGAACGGGCGAGUAACGCGUGGGCAAUCUACCCUCGAGUGGGGAAUAACCAUUCUAACGAGUGGCUAAUUCCGCAUGUGCCCGCCCCCCCGCAUGAGGGGGCGGUGAAAGGUGGGGAUCUUCGGACCUGCCGCUCGAGGAGGAGCCCGCGUCCCAUUAGCUUGUUGGUGGGGUAACGGCCCACCAAGGCAUCGAUGGGUAGCCGAUCUGAGAGGAUGACCGGCCACACUGGGACUGA
rnacentral:rRNA from 1 species